UACGAAGGUGGCAAGCGUUACUCGGAAUUACUAGGCGUAAAGGGCAGGUAGGUGGUUUGAUAAGUCUGUUGUGGAAGCUCCCGGCUUAACUGGGAGAGGCCAACAGAAACUAUCAGGCUUGAGUAUAGGAGAGGGUACUGGAAUUCCCGGUGUAGCGGUGAAAUGCGCAGAUAUCGGGAGGAACACCAAUGGCGAAAGCAGGUGCCUGGACUAUUACUGACACUAAGCUGCGAAAGCUAGGGGAGCAAAC
rnacentral:rRNA from 1 species